rnacentral:misc_RNA from 1 species
GAUGAAGAACGUAGCGAAAUGCGAUAAGUAAUGUGAAUUGCAGAAUUCAGUGAAUCAUCGAAUCUUUGAACGCACCUUGCGCCCUUUGGCUAUUCUGAAGGGCAUGCCUGUUUGAGUAUCGUGAACACCUCAACUCUCAUGGUCUGCCAUGAUGAGCUUGGACUUUGGGGGUCUUGCUGGCCUACUGUCAGCUCCUCUCAAAUGAAUCAGCUUACCAGUGUUUGGUGGCACCACAGGUGUGAUAACUAUCUACGCUUGUGGUUUUCUGCCAGGUAACCUCCAGUGAUGGAGGUUCGCUGGAGCUCACAAAUGUCUCUCCUCAGCGAGGACAGCUUUUUGAACGUUUGAUCUCAAAUCAGGUAGGACUACCCGCUGAACUUAAGCAUAUCAAUAAGCGGAGGU